rnacentral:piRNA from 2 species
UGAAUUUCUGAACUCCCUGCUUUUACCUUCC